rnacentral:rRNA from 1 species
ACAGAGGUCCCGAGCGUUGUUCGGAUUCACUGGGCGUAAAGGGUGCGUAGGCGGUCGGGUAAGUCUGAUGUGAAAUCUCCGAGCCUAACUCGGAAACUGCAUCGGAUACUAUUCGGCUAGAGGAUUGGAGGGGAGACUGGAAUUCUCGGUGUAGCAGUGAAAUGCGUAGAUAUCGAGAGGAACACCAGUGGCGAAGGCGAGUCUCUGGACAAUUCCUGACGCUGAGGCACGAAAGCUAGGGGAGCAAACAGGA